AGAGAGAGACAUGCGCGCAUAUCAAUAAGCGGAGGAAAAGAGACUAACAAGGAUUCCCCUAGUAACGGCGAGUGAAGCGGGAAGAGCUCAAAUUUGAAAUCUUAAAGGGUUUCCCUUUACGGAAUUGUAGUUUAAAGAAGUGUUUUCUGUUGAGGUUUUGGUAAAAGUUCUUUGGAAUAGGACAUCAUAGAGGGUGAGAAUCCCGUAUUUGACCUUUACUUUCAACUUUGUGAUACACUUUCAAAGAGUCGGAUUGUUUGGGAAUGCAGUCCAAAAUGGGUGGUAAAUUUCAUCUAAAGCCUAAAUAUUGGCGAGAGACCGAUAGCGAACAAGUACCGUGAGGGAAAGAUGAAAAGAACUUUGAAAAGAGAGUUAAACAGUACGUGAAAUUGUCAAAAGGGAAGCGUUUGACACCAGUGUUGUUUUUCUGAAAAUCAAUUAAAGAACUGUUUAUGCUAAGUUGUUUAGACCUUAUCAGCUAACUGUUUAGUUUUGAGCUUUUCUUUAAUGCACUUUUCAGUUAACAAGUCAACAUCAAUUUCUUUUGCUGUAAAAAAGCUUGAGGAAGGUGGCUUGAGAUUCGUCUUAAGUGUUUAUAGCCUCUUGCCUAUGCAGUCGGAGAGAUUGAGGUCUGCAGCGUAGAUCCUUCGGGGCUAAAUGCAUUUGUGCUAAGUUAUAGCAUUUUAUAGACAACUUGCUGACUAUGAUUUGUCUUGUAGCUUACUCGCUUAUGUUAUUUUACCUACGCUUAGGAUGUUGACGCAUGAGAUAUACGC
rnacentral:rRNA from 1 species